GCACCGCUAGUCUAAUGGUUAGGAUAUCUGCCUUCCAAGCAGAUGGUCCGGGUUCGGUUCCCUGGCGGUGCA
rfam:Perkinsus marinus ATCC 50983 gcontig_1104296465912, whole genome shotgun sequence.